rnacentral:rRNA from 1 species
ACUCAAAUGAAUAGACGGGGGCCCGCACAAGCGGUGGAGCAUGUGGUUUAAUUCGACGGUACCCGAAGAACCUUACCAGGACUUGACAUGCUAGAUAGUUGCUUGAAAAAGUAAUUUGCCGUAAGGAAUCUAGACACAGGUGGUGCAUGGCUGUCGUCAGUUCGUGUUGUGAAAUGUUGGGUUAAGUCCCGCAACGAACGCAACCCUUGUCUUUAGUUGUUUUCUAAAGAGACUGCCUGUAAUAAACAGGAGGAAGGUAAGGAUGAGGUCAAGUCAUCAUGCCCCUUAUGUCCUGGGCUACACACGUGCUACAAUGGCUAAGACAACGAGAAGCAAACUUGUAAAUGUAAGCAAAUCUCUUAAACUUAUUCGUAGUUCGGAUUGUGGGCUGCAACUCGCCCACAUGAAGUUGGAAUCGCUAGUAAUCGCCAGUCAGCUAUAUGGCGGUGAAUCCGUUCCCGGGCCUUGCACACACCGCCCGU